rnacentral:rRNA from 1 species
GUAGGUGGCAAGCGUUGUCCGGAAUUAUUGGGCGUAAAGCGCGCGCAGGCGGUUCUUUAAGUCUGAUGUGAAAGCCCACGGGCUCAACCGUGGAGGGUCAUUGGAAACUGGAGAACUUGAGUACAGAAGAGGAAAGCGGAAUUCCACGUGUAGCGGUGAAAUGCGUAGAGAUGUGGAGGAACACCAGUGGCGAAGGCGGCUUUCUGGUCUGUAACUGGCGCUGAGGCGCGAAAGCGUGGGGAGCAAACAGGAUUAGAUACCCUGGUAGUCCACGCCGUAAACGAUGAGUGCUUAGUGUUAGGGGGUUUCCGCCCCUUAGUGCUGCAGCUAACGCAUUAAGCACUCCGCCUGGGGAGUACGGCCGCAAAGGCUG